rnacentral:rRNA from 1 species
AUUGAACGCUGGCGGCAGGCCUAACACAUGCAAGUCGAACGAGUGGUGGACGGGUGAGUAACGUCUGGGAAACUGCCCGAUGGAGGGGGAUAACUACUGGAAACGGUAGCUAAUACCGCAUACCAUCGGAUGUGCCCAGAUGGGAGUAGCUAGUAGGUGGGGUAAAGGCUCACCUAGGCGACGAUCCCUAGCUGGUCUGAGAGGAUGACCAUCCACACUGUAACUGAGACACGGUCCAGACUCCUACGGGAGGAAGCAGUGGGGAGUAUUCCGCAGUGGGCGAAAGCCUGAUGCAUCCAUGCCGCGUGUAUGAAGAUGGCCUUCGGGUUGUAAAGUGCUUUCAGCGGGGAGGCGUUGCCCGCAGAGUGAGCACCGGCUGACUCCGUGCCAGCAGCCGCGGUAAUUC